rnacentral:rRNA from 1 species
AUUGAACGCUGGCGGCAGGCUUAACACAUGCAAGUCGAGCGGAGAGAGGUAGCUUGCUACUGAUCUUAGCGGCGGACGGGUGAGUAAUGCUUAGGAAUCUGCCUGUUAGUGGGGGACAACAUUUCGAAAGGAAUGCUAAUACCGCAUACGUCCUACGGGAGAAAGCAGGGGAUCUUCGGACCUUGCGCUAAUAGAUGAGCCUAAGUCGGAUUAGCUAGUUGGUGGGGUAAAGGCCUACCAAGGCGACGAUCUGUAGCGGGUCUGAGAGGAUGAUCCGCCACACUGGGACUGAGACACGGCCCAGACUCCUACGGGAGGCAGCAGUGGGGAAUAUUGGACAAUGGGCGGAAGCCUGAUCCAGCCAUGCCGCGUGUGUGAAGAAGGCCUUAUGGUUGUAAAGCACUUUAAGCGAGGAGGAGGCUACUUUAGUUAAUACCUAGAGAUAGUGGACGUUACUCGCAGAAUAAGCACCGGCUAACUCUGUGCCAGCAGCCGCUGUAA